AGCCUUCUGGAAACGCCUUUGCUGUUAUUACAAUCAAAAGCUUUCACCACAUUUCACAGCUUUGCCCCCUACUCUAACCACUCCCUUCUUCAUGGAGCAAGUUUCCAGCAGCUGAAUGCCGUAUAAUCAGAACACCCUCUCAUCACCAUGGAAGCCAAAAGAAACAUACUUUUUGAAAAGUGACACUUCAGUGCAGAGAGCCCAUCACAAAGGAUAGAUGCGGUGAUGUCUGGAGUGGAACAGGAGGGGAGGAGGAGCCUGUUGGACUCUCCUUUGCCUGGGUCCCAGAAUGAAGAGGAAAUCGGAGGGGAGGUCAUUCCUCAAGGC